UACAGAGGUCCCAAGCGUUGUUCGGAUUCAUUGGGCGUAAAGGGUGCGUAGGCGGUCGCGCAAGUCGGAUGUGAAAUCUUGGGGCUCAACCCCGAAACUGCAUUCGAUACUGCGUGGCUCGAGUACUGGAGAGGAGACUGGAAUUUACGGUGUAGCAGUGAAAUGCGCAGAUAUCAGGAAGAACACCCGUGGCGAAGGCGGCUCUCUGGGACGGUACUGACGCUGAGACGCGAAAGCGUGGGGAGCGAACAGG
rnacentral:rRNA from 1 species